rnacentral:rRNA from 1 species
UACGGGGGGGGCAAGCGUUGUUCGGAAUUACUGGGCGUAAAGGGUUCGUAGGUGGCCAACUCAGUCAGACGUGAAAUCCCUCAGCUCAACUGGGGAACUGCGUCUGAUACUAGAUGGCUCGAGUGCAGGAGAGGAACGCGGAAUUCCAGGUGUAGCGGUGAAAUGCGUAGAUAUCUGGAGGAACACCGGUGGCGAAGGCGGCGUUCUGGACUGCAACUGACACUGAGGAACGAAAGCUAGGGGAGCGAACGGG